ACGAACCGUGCGAACGUUGUUCGGAAUCACUGGGCUUAAAGGGCGCGUAGGCGGGCAGUCAAGUCAGGGGUGAAAUCCCACGGCUCAACCGUGGAAGUGCCCCUGAUACUGAUUGUCUCGAGGGAGGUAGGGGCGUGCGGAACUUCCGGUGGAGCGGUGAAAUGCGUAGAUAUCGGAAGGAACACCGGUGGCGAAAGCGGCGCGCUGGACCUUUACUGACGCUGAGGCGCGAAAGCCAGGGGAGCAAACGGGA
rnacentral:rRNA from 1 species